GGGUAACGGCCCACCAAGGCGACGAUCAGUAGCCGACCUGAGAGGGUGACCGGCCACAUUGGGACUGAGACACGGCCCAAACUCCUACGGGAGGCAGCAGUGGGGAAUAUUGCACAAUGGGGGAAACCCUGAUGCAGCGACGCCGCGUGAGCGAUGAAGGCCUUCGGGUCGUAAAGCUCUAUCAGCAGGGAAGAAACUGACGGUACCUGACUAAGAAGCACCGGCUAAAUAC
rnacentral:rRNA from 1 species